rnacentral:tRNA from 1 species
GGACAGGUGGCAGAGUGGUCGAAUGCACCGGUCUUGAAAACCGGCGAGGGUGCAAGCUCUCCGUGGGUUCGAAUCCCACCCUGUCCG